ACAUCGUACAUUAGUUCCUGAGCUCAUUAAAGCCUUGAGUGACCUUGGACGUCCUGACAUUUUGGUCAUUGCUGGAGGAGUUAUUCCACCUCAGGAUUAUGAAUUUUUAAAAGAAUGUGGGACAGCAGCUAUAUUUGGACCAGGUACUCAAAUCCCUGUUGCUGCACUAGAUGUUCUUAACUUGAUUACAGUCUCCUUAAAAAAGCGAGCUGCAGUAAACUGAAGCUACUUGGUGUAUUACGAGCCCUUUAUGGAAGUCAUAAAUGAGAAAAGUAAAUAGCUGCUGUUAAGAUGAUGUAUUUUUUGUUUACAAGAAUGUAAUGUUACUGUAUGGUAAAUAAAGAGAACCCCAUCUUUUCUUAGCAUUCUAAGUACUACAUAAUCUUGCAGCAUAUUUAGAGAAUGGUAUAAUAUAAGAACCUUUUACGCUAAAUUUGCAAUAUAUACAGGGUGUUUUCUAAUGUGCCAUAUGGUUAUUUUUGUAAUGUCAAAACUAUUCAUGAUUAUUAAUAUUCUGGAUUGAUUUACAUUGAAUUGCUAUCUAGAGGAUUAUUUUCCAAACAAGAAAAUAUGUAGAGUACGAACAUAGUGUAAUACUCUUGACGGUAUUUUACUUAGUGUGAACCUGUUACUUGCACAGUAUUAGACUAAGGGAAUUAAAUUUUUUUUUUU